AACUACGAAGGGAUCUUG
rnacentral:piRNA from 1 species